UCGAUUUUUCCAUCACCGACCCUCAACCGAGGGUGUCGGACAUCGCGACCCGUUUGCUUAGUCGAUGCUUAGGUACGUGAUAAAGUUCGUAUGUGCCAUCGCCUCGGCGGUGGUACGACGAUUACGCGUUACCAAUGCGUCGGCGCAGACGGUAGCUUUGCGCGUGGGUAAUCGGCGCGGUCCUUGCUUGUAUUCUCGUAAUGCAGGCGGUACUCGCGUCGACACCGGUCAGCGAUGAAUUUUCAGGUCUCUUUCCGACCCGUCUUGAAACACGGACCAAGGAGUCUAGCGUGCGCGCGAGUCGCGGGGCAUUCGAAGUGUCGUAGCUGCUUACGCAGCGAAUGCAUUUCGUAAUGAUACUAAACCCGUAUACGUGCAUUGUGCGAAGGCGUAAUGAAAGUGAAAGGCGACGCUUCGUGCGUCGCCAGGGGAAGAUGAUGAUCUGUGUACACGUUUCGCGGUCGAGUAUGUAUCGCGACCAGACAUCCGCAUUCCCAGGGCAUCCUAUCCGUUCGCCUGUGACUGGGGUUCGCCUCGGCCGCAGGUGAAUUGGGGUGCACCUACAGCGUGCACGCUGGUACCCGAAAGAUGGUGAACUAUGCCUGGCCAGGAUGAAGUCAGGGGAAACC
rnacentral:rRNA from 1 species